ensembl:lncRNA
CACCUACAAUGUGGGAGACCUGGGUUCGAUCCCUGGGUUGGGAAGAUCCCCUGGAGAAGGGAAAGGCUACCCACUCCAGUAUUCCAGCCUGGGGAAUUCCAUGGACUGUAGAGUCCACGAGGUCACAAAGAAUCAGACAUGACUGAGGGACUCACUUUCACUUUCCACUGUCUUGAGUGUUCUCCAAGGCACUAAACACAGAGUUCAGAGUCCAUUGGAAAGGUGGCCAAGCAAGAUCAGCAUGAACCGGCCUAAGAUGGAGUCCAGGCCCUAUGAAUUCCUUCUUCAGUUUAAUUUUAGGGAAAGAGUUUUUAUUGAAUUAUUAACAUUUCUGGAGGCUGGGAAGUCCAAGAUCAAGGUUUCUGCAAAUCUGAUUCAGUUUCUACUGAGGAUACUUUUCCUGGUUUGCAGAUGGCUGCCUUCCUGCUACAUUGUCACAUGGUGGACAGAAAGCAAGCAAGCUCUGGUCUCUCUUCCUCUUCAUAUAAGGACACUAAUCCCAUCAUAGGGCCCCACUCUCAUGACCUUACCUAAAACUAAUUAUCUACAAAAGGCCCACACCUCCAGAUACCAUCACACUGGGAGUUUGGGCUUCACCUAUGAAUAUUUUUUUGUAUGUGGUGUGAGGAAGGGAUACAAACAUUCACUCAAUAACCCCUGCUAUGUACACUGGGUAAGUAGAAGAGUUGAGCUUAAAGGACAGGUCUGUCUGAUUCCAGAUGAUUUUAAUGACUGUUCUUUCUCCUACAUCAUGUUGCAUCCCCCCUCACCUAAUAGGCUUCGCUCCAAAGCUAAUAAAUCCAUAAGAAAAAGCAAACUAUAGCCUGUGGCCCAUACCUAACCCACCACUUGGUUUUGUAAAUGAAUUUUUUAUGGAAGCCAGCUGUGCAUAUUCAUUUAUACAUUAUCUAUUGCUGCUUUAGCUCCACCAUGGCAGAACUGAGUAUGUGCAACAGACACCAUAAAUCCAGC